rnacentral:rRNA from 1 species
AGUGAACGCUGGCGGUAGGCCUAACACAUGCAAGUCGAACGGCAGCACAGUAAGAGCUUGCUCUUACGGGUGGCGAGUGGCGGACGGGUGAGGAAUACAUCGGAAUCUACUUUUUCGUGGGGGAUAACGUAGGGAAACUUACGCUAAUACCGCAUAUGACCUACGGGUGAAAGCAGGGGAUCUUCGGACCUUGCGCGAUUGAAUGAGACGAUGUCGGAUUAGCUAGUUGGCGGGGUAAAGGCCCACCAAGGCGACGAUCCGUAGCUGGUCUGAGAGGAUGAUCAGCCACACUGGAACUGAGACACGGUCCAGACUCCUACGGGAGGCAGCAGUGGGGAAUAUUGGGCAAUGGGCGCAAGCCUGAUCCAGCCAUACCGCGUGGGUGAAGAAGGCCUUCGGGUUGUAAAGCCCUUUUGUUGGGAAAGAAAAGCAGCAGGUUAAUACCCCGCUGUUCUGACGGUACCCAAAGAAUAAGCACCGGCUAACUUCGUG